CUGAGUGGUGUGUAGGUCUGCAGCCAGCCCAGGAUUCGAACCUGUGAACCCUGGGCCACCAAAGUGGAGUGUGUAAACUCAACCACCAUGUCUCCAGGUGGGCUUCCUCAUGGUCUCACAAUGACUGCUACAGUUCCAGGUGGCACAUGAAGAAAGCUACAUCCAGAAGUACAAAGUGGACCUUCUUUUCUCUGCAUUUAUUUUAAAGAUCAAGGAAAACUUUUCUAGAAGGCUCUUGUAUCAGUUAGAGUCCUGGUAGAAAACAGAAUGCACAAAGUGACAGAUUAUAUUUUCCAAAGAUGUCUGCAGCAACCUCUCCUAUCCCAAUUUGCUUUUCUACCAUGUGACCCUGCAACUCCUCUAUUAAGAGGUGGAGUCAAAUUAUCCUCCCCUCGAAUAUGAGUAGGCUUGUGAGUAUAUCAAUCAUUAGAGUAUAGCAGAAAUAAUGCUGUGUGACUUUUGAGGCUGUCAUAUAAAAUGAUGCAGCUUCUGCCUGAUUCACUGUAACACUCACGCUUGCAGCCCUGAGCCACCAUGUAAGAACUCCAACUGAGACAACCAUGCCAUAGAGACCAAAUGUAUGAACUCUGGUCAACAGCUCAACUGAGCAAGCAUCAACUGUCAGGCAUGUUGAUUGAGCCAUCUUAAAUAUCCUGCACAGUUAAGCCUUCAGAUGACUGCAGCCCCAGUUGACAUUUAACUACAACCAAGAGACCCAAAGAAAACAUUAUUCAGCUGAGCCCUUUCCAAAUUCCCGACCCAAAAGUUGUGAGAAAAAUAAAGUAGUUGUUUUAAGCCACUA